UACAGAGACUGCAAGCGUUAUUCGGAUUCACUGGGCGUAAAGGGUGCGCAGGCGGCCAAGUGUGUCAGGUGUGCAAUCCCGAGGCUUAACCUCGGAACUGCGCCUGAAACUACUUGGCUAGAGUACUGGAGAGGGUAACGGAAUUCACGGUGUAGCAGUGAAAUGCGUAGAUAUCGUGAGGAACACCAGAGGCGAAGGCGGUUACCUGGACAGUUACUGACGCUCAGGCACGAAAGCGUGGGGAGCAAAAGGG
rnacentral:rRNA from 1 species